rfam:Triticum aestivum genome assembly, contig: Triticum_aestivum_CS42_TGACv1_scaffold_579037_7BL
GUAGUAUUCCCUCCGUCCCAAAAUUCUUGUCUUACAUUUGUUUAGAUACGGAUGUAUCUAACACUAUAAUGUAACUAGAUACAUCCGUAUUUAGACAAAUUUAAGACAAGAAUUUUGGGACGGAGGGAGUACAAA